rnacentral:rRNA from 1 species
GACGAACGCUGGCGGCGUGCUUAACACAUGCAAGUCGAACGGAAAGGCCCUGCUUUUGUGGGGUGCUCGAGUGGCGAACGGGUGAGUAACACGUGAGUAACCUGCCCUUGACUUUGGGAUAACUUCAGGAAACUGGGGCUAAUACCGGAUAGGAGCUCCUGCCGCAUGGUGGGGGUUGGAAAGUUUCGGCGGUUGGGGAUGGACUCGCGGCUUAUCAGCUUGUUGGUGGGGUAGUGGCCUACCAAGGCUUUGACGGGUAGCCGGCCUGAGAGGGUGACCGGCCACAUUGGGACUGAGAUACGGCCCAGACUCCUACGGGAGGCAGCAGUGGGGAAUAUUGCACAAUGGGCGGAAGCCUGAUGCAGCAACGCCGCGUGCGGGAUGACGGCCUUCGGGUUGUAAACCGCUUUCGCCUGUGACGAAGCGUGAGUGACGGUAAUGGGUAAAGAAGCACCGGCUAACUACGUG